rnacentral:piRNA from 1 species
UGUAUUUAAAAACGGAAACAGACUUGC